UACGGAGGGGGCUAGCGUUGUUCGGAAUUACUGGGCGUAAAGCGCGCGUAGGCGGCUUUGUAAGUUAGAGGUGAAAGCCCGGAGCUCAACUCCGGAACUGCCUUUAAGACUGCAUCGCUAGAAUUGUGGAGAGGUGAGUGGAAUUCCGAGUGUAGAGGUGAAAUUCGUAGAUAUUCGGAAGAAACACCAGUGGCGAAGGCGACUCACUGGACACAUAUUGACGCUGAGGUGGCGAAAGCGUGGGGAGCAAACAGG
rnacentral:rRNA from 1 species